CUUCUCUGAUGUUAGCGGCGGACGGGUGAGUAACACGUGGAUAACCUACCUAUAAGACUGGGAUAACUUCGGGAAACCGGAGCUAAUACCGGAUAAUAUUUUGAACCGCAUGGUUCAAAAGUGAAAGACGGUCUUGCUGUCACUUAUAGAUGGAUCCGCGCUGCAUUAGCUAGUUGGUAAGGUAACGGCUUACCAAGGCAACGAUGCAUAGCCGACCUGAGAGGGUGAUCGGCCACACUGGAACUGAGACACGGUCCAGACUCCUACGGGAGGCAGCAGUAGGGAAUCUUCCGCAAUGGGCGAAAGCCUGACGGAGCAACGCCGCGUGAGUGAUGAAGGUCUUCGGAUCGUAAAACUCUGUUAUUAGGGAAGAACAUAUGUGUAAGUAACUGUGCACAUCUUGACGGUACCUAAUCAGAAAGCCACGGCUAACUACGUGCCAGCAGCCGCGGUAAUACGUAGGUGGCAAGCGUUAUCCGGAAUUAUUGGGCGUAAAGCGCGCGUAGGCGGUUUUUUAAGUCUGAUGUGAAAGCCCACGGCUCAACCGUGGAGGGUCAUUGGAAACUGGAAAACUUGAGUGCAGAAGAGGAAAGUGGAAUUCCAUGUGUAGCGGUGAAAUGCGCAGAGAUAUGGAGGAACACCGGUGGCGAAGGCGACUUUCUGGUCUGUAACUGACGCUGAUGUGCGAAAGCGUGGGGAUCAAACAGGAUUAGAUACCCUGGUAGUCCACGCCGUAAACGAUGAGUGCUAAGUGUUAGGGGGUUUCCGCCCCUUAGUGCUGCAGCUAACGCAUUAAGCACUCCGCCUGGGGAGUACGACCGCAAGGUUG
rnacentral:rRNA from 1 species